UACGGAGGGGGCUAGCGUUGUUCGGAAUUACUGGGCGUAAAGCGCACGUAGGCGGCUUUGUAAGUUAGAGGUGAAAGCCCGGGGCUCAACUCCGGAAUUGCCUUUAAGACUGCAUCGCUAGAAUUGUGGAGAGGUAAGUGGAAUUCCGAGUGUAGAGGUGAAAUUCGUAGAUAUUCGGAAGAACACCAGUGGCGAAGGCGGCCCACUGGACGUGUAUUGACGCUGAGGUGCGAAAGCGUGGGGAGCAAACAGG
rnacentral:rRNA from 1 species